GAUCUUCCUAUUUUCUGCUCCCAAUUUGAUGUAUGCCUAGUGUGGUAUGAUUUUGUAGCUGCACCAUGUCUGAAUAACUACUCUCUGAAAAAUUAAUUCACAAAUGGCGUGUGCAUUGUAGCUGCACCAUGUCUGAACUAGACUUGGUUGCUUAUAUUACUGAAGAGAACAAAAGAAGAAAGAGAAAGAGGAUAUUGUUG
rnacentral:lncRNA from 1 species